rnacentral:rRNA from 1 species
GAUGAACGCUGGCGGCGUGCCUAAUACAUGCAAGUCGAGCGAACGGACGAGAAGCUUGCUUUUCUGAUGUUAGCGGCGGACGGGUGAGUAACACGUGGAUAACCUACCUAUAAGACUGGGAUAACUUCGGGAAACCGGAGCUAAUACCGGAUAAUAUUUUGAACCGCAUGGUUCAAAAGUGAAAGACGGUCUUGCUGUCACUUAUAGAUGGAUCCGCGCUGCAUUAGCUAGUUGGUAAGGUAACGGCUUACCAAGGCAACGAUGCAUAGCCGACCUGAGAGGGUGAUCGGCCACACUGGAACUGAGACACGGACCAGACUCCUACGGGAGGCAGCAGUAGGGAAUCUUCCGCAAAGGGCGAAAGCCUGACGGAGCAACGCCGCGUGAGUGAUGAAGGUCUUCGGAUCGUAAAACUCUGUUAUUAGGGAAGAACAUAUGUGUAAGUAACUGUGCACAUCUUGACGGUACCUAAUCAGAAAGCCACGGCUAACUACGUG